UGGGGAAUUUUGGACAAUGGGCGAAAGCCUGAUCCAGCAAUGCCGCGUGUGUGAAGAAGGCCUUCGGGUUGUAAAGCACUUUUGUCCGGAAAGAAAUGGCUCUGGUUAAUACCUGGGGUCGAUGACGGUACCGGAAGAAUAAGGACCGGCUAACUACGUGCCAGCAGCCGCGGUAAUACGUAGGGUCCAAGCGUUAAUCGGAAUUACUGGGCGUAAAGCGUGCGCAGGCGGUUGUGCAAGACCGAUGUGAAAUCACCGAGCUUAACUUGGGAAUUGAAUUGGUGACUGCACGGCUAGAGUGUGGCAGAGGGGGGUAGAAUUCCACGUGUAGCAGUGAAAUGCGUAGAGAUGUGGAGGAAUACCGAUGGCGAAGGCAGCCCCCUGGGAUAACACUGACGCUCAUGCACGAAAGCGUGGGGAGCAAACAGG
rnacentral:rRNA from 1 species